AUGAGUUUGGUAUUUGCUAUUUCCCAGGGCCACCGACUCCAGAGAGCAGGGGGGACCCAAGCCCCUUCCAGCCCCUCUCUGCCCAAGCCUGCAGCGUGCAUGCUCACCCCUGUGUGUGUGCACAUGCACCCACAUGCACAUGCUCACCCCUACGUGCAUGUGCUCAUCCCUGCGUGCGUGCACAUGCACCCACAUGUGCAUGCUCACCCCUGCAUGCACGUGCACCUGCAUGCACAUGCUCAUCCCUGCAUGCACACACACCCGCAUGCACAUGCUCACCCCUGCAUCCACGCUCACCCCUGUUUGCACCCACAUGCACAUGCUCACCCCGAGCCUGCAGCCCCCAGAGACCCUCCGGGCCGGGCCAGGGCUGGGCUGGGCGCCACGGGCCUGGCUCAUGCCGGGCUGUGCAGCACCGGCGCUGCCUGGAGCAGCAUCGUUUCCCGGCUCGUUGCUUGGCGACGGGCCCAGGUGAGCACUCGAGCUUCAUCGUCUGAGCCGAGAUUUACCGGGCAGCGACGCGCGGAAGGGAGGCGGGGGCAUGGCCCCCUCCGCAGGGCUCCCGGGUGCCAUCUGCUCCCGCAGCCGGUGCGCGCGGGAAUGUCGGCACUCCGGGCACCGCGUCCCCCGGCAGUUGGGACCCCCUCUGCAGGGACGUGUGGCCGGAGGGCGAGGAAGGCGCUGCAACGCCUGGCGCCCUGCAUUGCUGGCGCUCAGCCCUCAGUGGGGCAAGAGCUCGCUGCAGAGGGCCAAACCGGCCCGACCGGAGCCCGCAGCUGCUCACCUGCUCGCCGCGAGUCCCGCUGCGCUGGGCAGGAUCCUCCCUUCCUCCCUCCUCCAGCACAGGAACAACUGUCCGAGCCGGGCAGCCGCUACUGCCAUCGGGGACGUGGACGAUGGCACCGAGAGCUGGGCACAAGGCAGGACCGCCACCCGGCUCGGCUCCACCAAGGAGGCCACGGGCUCUGGCCCCAGCUCGCUGCUCCUCCAGCACAUGCCGGGAGCGGCCGGAGCCAGGAGAGUGGGAGCAGCCCGCAGGAGCCGUGCACCCGAGCCCCAUGCCGGCACCGCGGGGCAAUCCCAGCUCCCACCAGCCUGCGGCACUGGGACACCCCCUGCUCCAGGCACAGUUCCUGGGCUCCGUCCCUGCCCUGCCGCACGGCACCUCCGCAGCCCCGUGCCAGGCUGAGCCCUGCCCACCGCUCCAAGUCCGGGCACCCGGGACCAUGGCCCCAGCACUGCUCCACAUCCCGGCUUGGAGAGCAGAGAGCCACAGCAGCCGAGAAACAACCCCUUCCCUUCCCUUCCCUUCCCUCUUGUCCUCCCUCAGCCAAGCUGCCUGUGCCAGCACCGCAGCCGGGAGGAGCAACACCUGGGAAGGGAGGCACAGCUGCAGCUCGAGCAAACGAGCUUGCAAAGGAGCUUGCCGGCAUGCUGCCAUUGAUUCGGAGGUGA
rnacentral:lncRNA from 1 species